GAUGAACGCUGGCGGCGUGCCUAAUACAUGCAAGUCGAGCGAACGGACGAGAAGCUUGCUUCUCUGAUGUUAGCGGCGGACGGGUGAGUAACACGUGGAUAACCUACCUAUAAGACUGGGAUAACUUCGGGAAACCGGAGCUAAUACCGGAUAAUAUUUUGAACCGCAUGGUUCAAAAGUGAAAGACGGUCUUGCUGUCACUUAUAGAUGGAUCCGCGCUGCAUUAGCUAGUUGGUAAGGUAACGGCUUACCAAGGCAACGAUGCAUAGCCGACCUGAGAGGGUGAUCGGCCACACUGGAACUGAGACACGGUCCAGACUCCUACGGGAGGCAGCAGUAGGGAAUCUUCCGCAAUGGGCGAAAGCCUGACGGAGCAACGCCGCGUGAGUGAUGAAGGUCUUCGGAUCGUAAAACUCUGUUAUUAGGGAAGAACAUAUGUGUAAGUAACUGUGCACAUCUUGACGGUACCUAAUCAGAAAGCCACGGCUAACUACGUGCCAGCAGCCGCGGUAAUACGUAGGUGGCAAGCGUUAUCCGGAAUUAUUGGGCGUAAAGCGCGCGUAGGCGGUUUUUUAAGUCUGAUGUGAAAGCCCACGGCUCAACCGUGGAGGGUCAUUGGAAACUGGAAAACUUGAGUGCAGAAGAGGAAAGUGGAAUUCCAUGUGUAGCGGUGAAAUGCGCAGAGGUAUGGAGGAACACCAGUGGCGAAGGCGACUUUCUGGUCUGUAACUGACGCUGAUGUGCGAAAGCGUGGGGAUCAAACAGGAUUAGAUACCCUGGUAGUCCACGCCGUAAACGAUGAGUGCUAAGUGUUAGGGGGUUUCCGCCCCUUAGUGCUGCAGCUAACGCAUUAAGCACUCCGCCUGGGGAGUACGACCGCAAGGUUGAAACUCAAAGGAAUUGACGGGGACCCGCACAAGCGGUGGAGCAUGUGGUUUAAUUCGAAGCAACGCGAAGAACCUUACCAAACCUUGACAUCCUUUGACAACUCUAGAGAUAGAGCCUUCCCCUUCGGGGGACAAAGUGACAGGUGGUGCAUGGUUGUCGUCAGCUCGUGUCGUGAGAUGUUGGGUUAAGUCCCGCAACGAGCGCAACCCUUAAGCUUAGUUGCCAUCAUUAAGUUGGGCACUCUAAGUUGACUGCCGGUGACAAACCGGAGGAAGGUGGGGAUGACGUCAAAUCAUCAUGCCCCUUAUGAUUUGGGCUACACACGUGCUACAAUGGACAAUACAAAGGGCAGCGAAACCGCGAGGUCAAGCAAAUCCCAUAAAGUUGUUCUCAGUUCGGAUUGUAGUCUGCAACUCGACUACAUGAAGCUGGAAUCGCUAGUAAUCGUAGAUCAGCAUGCUACGGUGAAUACGUUCCCGGGUCU
rnacentral:rRNA from 1 species